AUUGAACGCUGGCGGCAUGCCUUACACAUGCAAGUCGAACGGCAGCACGGGAGCUUGCUCCUGGUGGCGAGUGGCGAACGGGUGAGUAAUACAUCGGAACGUACCCUGAAGUGGGGGAUAACGUAGCGAAAGUUACGCUAAUACCGCAUAUUCUGUGAGCAGGAAAGAGGGGGGAUCGCAAGACCUCUUGCUUUAGGAGCGGCCGAUGUCGGAUUAGCUAGUUGGUGAGGUAAAGGCUCACCAAGGCGACGAUCCGUAGCGGGUCUGAGAGGAUGAUCCGCCACACUGGGACUGAGACACGGCCCAGACUCCUACGGGAGGCAGCAGUGGGGAAUUUUGGACAAUGGGCGCAAGCCUGAUCCAGCCAUGCCGCGUGAGUGAAGAAGGCCUUCGGGUUGUAAAG
rnacentral:rRNA from 1 species